UUCGUGCCGUUCCGACCUCGUUUGAUACGGUUAUGGUUAACCACACGGCCCCUCGGGCCCGACCCGAGCCCAGUCAACGUUUUGACCCGAUCAAAUCGGCCCGUGACCCGAAACGACCCUACUUGGGCCCUACAACAGCCACGUAAAGUUUCGGGAUGAUCCGACGUUCUUUCAUGGGGUUACGGACAAUCCACGCCAAACAAGCGUCACGGGCCGACCGAGCCGGGCCAACGGGCCCUCGGGACCCGAAAACUGAAUUUUUUUUCAUCCAAACCCAUUAAAACACGUUACCGAGGUCUCACGCAAAAUUUCAUGCCAAUCCGACGUCGUUUGAUGGGGUUUUGAAAAAUUAUGAUUCCUCAAAAAUUUAAUGUCUGUUCCUGUCACUUAGCUUUUUGUGCAAAAUGUAUAUAUAGGGGAGGGGUGGGUGUUGAGCAGCCCAUGCCCGGGCAAGGCAUGCCAGCGCCCAAGCCAAAGGAGGCUGGUGGCGUGCGUAUAACAGCUCAAAUGCCCCAACGAUGACCGAGAACAAGCGCCCAUCUCCCCUCCUUCCCCCCCACCAAGCGCCCCUCCCCCCCCAUGUUGCCUGCCCACUCGCACAGCUACUCGUGAUUUCAUGCCCAGCGACUAGUGAAUGUGCCUCGACGACCAGCAAACCUCGAAAAUUAUGAUUCCUCGUAAAAUUAAUGUCUGUUCCUGUCACUUUACUUUUUGUGCAAAAUGUAUAUAUAGGGGAGACCAGGGGCUUGAGCAACCCCUGUGCCCAAGCAAGGGUCAGAUGGAAGCACACGAGACGCGAGGUUUAAAGCCUAUACAAGCAAGGCGUCUGUCUCCCCAAGCCCCAUUGCCUAUAAAACAAGCCCGAUGCCUUGUAAAUGCCCCACACGAUGCCUAUAAACGACAACGAUGUUUGCUAGUUAAUCGAUCGACGCCCCACACCUUGCAGCAUGUUGCCUAGUAAACAAGCCAUGCUGCCUUGGAAGCGCCCCACAUCAUGGCAUGUUGCCUAGCACGCUGCCCUUGUUUCCCGCACGGCGACCUGAAAGCGUGGCCUGACGACGUGCUUGCCUUCGAAAAUUAUGAUUCCUCAAAAAAUUAAUGUCUGUUCCUGUCACUUUACUUUUUGU
rnacentral:rRNA from 1 species